GAUGAACGCUAGGCGGGAGGCUUAAUACAUGCAAGUCGAGCGGUAAGGUUUUCGGACCCUAGAGCGGCGAACGGGUGAGUAACGCGUACGAAACCUACCUUUAAGAGAGGGAUAGCCCUGGGAAACUGGGAGUAAUACCUCAUAGUAUUCAAUAACCGCAUGGUUUAUGGAUUAAAGCUGCGGCGCUUAAAGAUGGUCGUGCGUCUGAUUAGCUAGUUGGUAGGGUAACGGCCUACCAAGGCUACGAUCAGUAGGGGGCGUGAGAGCGUGGCCCCCCACACGGGUACUGAGACACGGACCCGACUCCUACGGGAGGCAGCAGUAAGGAAUAUUGGGCAAUGGACGGAAGUCUGACCCAGCCAUCCCGCGUGCAGGACGAAUGCCCUAUGGGUUGUAAACUGCUUUUGUUUGGGAAGAAAUGUAUUCUUUUAAGAGUAUUUGACGGUACCAGACGAAUAAGCACCGGCUAACUCCGUG
rnacentral:rRNA from 1 species